GGUCACGUGAUGGAGUUGGUCACCAUACCUGUCUAACAGUACUUGACUGUUCAACACAGGAGGUCGGCAGUUCGAUCCUGCCCGGGAUCA